rnacentral:rRNA from 1 species
CNCCCUGGUGGUGCNUGGUUGUCGUCCGCUCGUGUCGUGNGNUGUUGGGUUAAGUCCCGCAACGAGCGCAACCCUUAUCCUUAGUUACCAGCAGUAAGAUGGGGACUCUAAGGAGACAGCUAGCGAUAUGCUAGAGGAAGGUGGGGAUGACGUCAAAUCAUCAUGCCCCUUAUGACCUGGGCUACACACGUGCUACAAUGGACGGAGCAAAGCGAAGCGAAAUGGUGACAUGGAGCAAAACGCAUAAAACCGUUCUCAGUUCGGAUUGUAGUCUGCAACUCGACUACAUGAAGUUGGAAUCGCUAGUAAUCGUAGAUCAGCAUUGCUACGGUGAAUACGUUCUCGGGUCUUGUACACACUGCCCGUCAAACCACGAGAGUUGAUAACACCCGAAGUCGGUGGCCUAACCGCAAGGAGGGAUCCGCCUAAGGUGGGAUUGAUGAUUGGGGUUAAGUUUUUUCGAAGUAACCG